rnacentral:rRNA from 1 species
CUCCUACGGGAGGCAGCAGUCGGGAAUUUUGGGCAAUGGGCGAAAGCCUGACCCAGCAACGCCGCGUGAAGGAUGAAAUCCCUCGGGAUGUAAACUUCGCAAGAAUGGGAAGAAUAAGUGGGGGACAAUACCCCCCAUGAUGACGGUACCAUUUGUAAGCUCCGGCUAACUCCGUGCCAGCAGCCGCGGUAAUACGGGGGGAGCAAGCGUUGUUCGGAUUUACUGGGCGUAAAGGGCGCGUAGGCGGUCGUGACAAGUCACUUGUGAAAUCUCCGGGCUUAACUCGGAACGGUCAAGUGAUACUGUCGGACUAGAGUACAGAAGGGGCAACUGGAAUUCUCGGUGUAGCGGUGAAAUGCGUAGAUAUCGAGAGGAACACCUGCGGCGAAGGCGGGUUGCUGGGCUGAUAC